CCUACGGGAGGCAGCAGUGGGGAAUAUUGGACAAUGGGCGAAAGCCUGAUCCAGCCAUGCCGCGUGUGUGAAGAAGGCCUUCGGGUUGUAAAGCACUUUCAGUGGGGAAGAAAGCCUUGGGGCUAAUACCCUCGAGGAAGGACAUCACCCACAGAAGAAGCACCGGCUAACUCCGUGCCAGCAGCCGCGGUAAUACGGAGGGUGCGAGCGUUAAUCGGAAUUACUGGGCGUAAAGCGCGCGUAGGCGGUCUGAUAAGCCGGUUGUGAAAGCCCCGGGCUCAACCUGGGAACGGCAUCCGGAACUGUCAGGUUAGAGUGCAGGAGAGGAAGGUAGAAUUCCCGGUGUAGCGGUGAAAUGCGUAGAGAUCGGGAGGAAUACCAGUGGCGAGGGCGGCCUUCUGGACUGACACUGACGCUGAGGGGCGAAAGCGUGGGUAGCAAACAGGAUUAGAUACCCUGUAGUC
rnacentral:rRNA from 1 species